UGAUGCAGAUAACGUUUGGUGUUGCAACGU
rnacentral:piRNA from 1 species